rnacentral:lncRNA from 7 species
AGGUGGGGAAUGAAAAUGGCAUCUCUAAGCCUUGAAGCAGAGAUCUCUAUCAUGUCAAGAUCCUUCCCUAUGAAGUUCAGAGCCAAGCCUUGUCUUCAGGGGACACAGAGACUCCUGCUACACCACAGUCACAGCCCAGAGAAAAGUGACAGCAAACUCAAUGCUGUUCUCAGCUUAUCUGCCAAGACCGAUGUAAUGCUGAAGAAGCUGAAGUUCAGUGACAGAAGCAGAAAGGAAAAAAUUGUUUCCUAUCUAAAAUCAAAUAAAUGAAGUAUGAAACUACCCACUCAUCUUGACUUUCAUGAAGAAGAUCAGCACACACAAAAAAAGCUGUAAUUCUUAUGUUCGCACAAAAAAUUACAGAGACCAUGACCUUACAGCACUUGCCUUUGCUCAUUGCUUGCCCUGUGCUCAACACAUUGCUGAGGGCCCUUCUUGCAGUUUGUGCAGCAUGGCAGGGAAGGUACAGCAGCUCCCAUGUCAACUGGGGAGAAGUAAAAUGUAAUGACAGCUCUGAUGAAACUGCAGUAGCAAAUGGCCGCUUGAACUGCCUCAAAGCUUGCAUGAAGAGAACAGCUCUGGACUUCAAGGACCCGCUCAUGCCCUAGCUUCCAGGCCACAUCACCUACUCAUGGGCUCAACCACCUUUAACUUCACUAACAAUUACAUACCCCCUCACACACUUGCGCUUGCUCCAAUUGCUGCACCAGAGACACACACAGUCUCUAACUCAUGGUUCAACUCCAGCUGCUGUACUCAUAUCUUCAUACACACAUUCGCACACAGAAUAGAAAGGCUUCUCCCAGGGAGGCAUUAGAAAGGAAAUUAAGAGGAAGGCAGGACAGAUUACACUGAUCAGAUGCAGGGCACACCCAGACAGAUAUAUGAAGCACUCAAUUAUUUAUGAGCAAUUGCCCCUUUUUAUCCCCUUACCACUUCACAUUUUCAUAGUUGUUUCUCCAGAAACUGCUUAAAACCCUCACAGUUCCCAACUUUGGUUAUUCCAUAAAUUCUGUGCAAUCCCUAGACUGGUAUUCCUCUGUAUCCCAUAAUGUGUCCCAUCCCUCCUGCCAUGGUCUCUCUGAGACCUCUUGUGAGUGGUUUAUCACGUAAUCUAACCGCUGGGUCAGUGAGCAACUCAAAACUUAGCUGUGUGACUCAGCCAAAGAAACCAGUGUGAAUGGAAAGUUGUUUCUGAACGUGCACUGAGGAAUGAUAGAUUGUAAAGAAAUUACAUGAAUUUAAGCUACACUGAUGUAACAAGAGAUGAAGUACAAGCAAUAAGCUUAUAUGUAUAUGAUUUUUUUUUUUUUAAUGCAGUGUCUAAUUCCCCUUUUCAUCAUAUGUGGAAGGGCUCAUGCAGCUCUCAAGACUCCUAUCAUCUUCAGGCAAUACUGUUUAAUUUAAAACCUGGCAGGACCACAUUGAAUUAAAGCUAACAAGUACUAGAUGGUC